CCUCAGUUCUCCCUUUAUUGCAACUAACUGGCCCCCCUCUCUGAACUACAGAAAGGCUGGUUAGUGACUGGUUUUUUGUUUUUUUGUUUUUUUUUUUUUUUAGUCUUCCAGCUCCCCCUUCUGGACUGUGACUUGAAACUUGCCCCAUAACCAUGCAAGAUCUUAUUCCUUGUGACAAUUCCUUCAUUCAGUAAUACUUAGCAAUCCCACCUCGCUAACUGUCACAUCGCCACCAGCGAGACUUCCUGUUGACUUUCUCACACGAGCAUAAAGCAUGCGAAAGUUGCCAUGCCAUCAAUACUCUAUAAAUAAGUUUUUAAAAUCGCGUGUAUAACCUCACAUCCAAAUCAAGAAAUAGAACACGAGUCAAGGCGGCCGGAGAGACGGCCCAGGCGUUAAAGGCUAGGCUCAUACCCAAAUCUGUAAGAAGAUGAGUCAAGAAGAUAAUGAAUAUGAACUGAAGAGAUGGGGUGGCAAGUGACUCCCCUCUCCUCCCCUCCUCCCCUCCUCCCUACCCCUUUUGUGUGCAUGGGGGUGGCGUUUGGCUUGACUUUUUUUUUUUUUGGCUUGACUUUCAAAUCACUCUACUAUUUUUAACAUUUUAAAUUUCCAAAAAUGAAGCCACAACCUUGAGGAGAUAAGCCUAAUUUAUAUAUAAAAAAAGAAAACAAACAAACAACCGUUGGACAUGAUAACAAGCACCUUUCACUCCAGCACUCAGAAAGCAGAGGCAGGAGGAUCUCCAUGAGUUCAAGGCCAGCCUGGUCUACACAGUGAAUUCCAGGACAGCCAGAGCUGCCUCGUGAGAUUCGGUCUCAAACCCCACGCUAUGGAAUAAUCCUUCUGUAUACUGUGAAUAUGUGUUGCUUUCGUUGGUUAAUAAAGAAGCCAACUGGCCUAUAUCAAGGCAGGAUAAAAGUUAGGUGUGUCAAUCAAACUGAGGACACUGGAAUGAAGAAGGGUUGAGUGAGAGAGUCAUUGGCCGAUGCAGAGAGAGCAACAGGGGCACGCCAUACUGAGAAAAGGCACCAAGCUACGAGGCAAAGCACAGAUAGGAAAUAUGGAUUAAGUGUAAGAGUUAGCUAGUAACAAGCCUGAGCUAUCAGCUCCUUCUCUGGCACCCCAUCUGCCUGCCCACCACCACCACGUAACACCAUGACCGUAAUGGAUUAAACCUCUGGAAAUGAAAGCCACCCCAAUUAAAUGCUUUUCCUUUACAAGAGCUGGAGUGGGUCAUGGAGUCUCUUCACAGCAACAGAAACCAUAACUAAGACACAUUACCUUCCUCUUCACCAAUAUCAGGAUAAACUGACAUCCUUCCAAUGACACGCAUGACCCCUACAAUAAUCAGUCAGAGGAUAACAUUUUAAUAAUGAAGAAAUAACCUUUCUGAUGUGGAAUAUUUGUUCAACUAUGCAAAGAUGCAUUGCAUUUGUUUAACUCUGUAAAGGUGUUGUGCUGGGUGGUUUUGUGCGUCAACUUGACACAAGCUGCAGAGUCAUCAGAGGAAAGAGCCUCAGCUGAGGAAACACCUUCUUGAGAUCCAGCUAUAAAGCAUUUUCUCACUGAGUGAUCAAUGUGGUACCAUCCCUGGGGUCCUGGGUUCUACAAGAAGGUGGGAUUAGCAAGCCGUAGGAAGCAAACCAGUAAGCAACUCCCCUCCAUGGCUCUCUGCAUCAGCUCCUGCUUCUGGGAUCCUGCUCUGUUUUGAGUUCCUGUCCUGACCUCCUUCAGUGAUGAACAGCAAUGCUGAAGUUGAGACACGUUUGUUCCUGUCAACACCAAUCCACUUCAUAAAAGGAUGAUGGACAUCAAAGAACUUCCAUAUGGAGUUGACUUUCAUUGUGGCAAGCUAGCCAUUUAGGCAAGAAACUGCUCUUACCUCACUGCUGACAAUAUACUGUUCAAACUGGACAAGCAGGACACAAAGGAAAAAGACCGACAAACUUUACCAAGACAAGAGAGCACAACGAAGAAACUAGCUUGGUGAACCGAUGAGUUGCCUGGGGAUACACCCAAGAGGAAGCUGGGGCACCCGAAACCCACUCCAGCGUGGGGCUGACUCAGAGGAGCCGCAUUCCUGGAGAUCCUUGCACACCUUGCGGUCAGCAUCAUCAGAGAGUGAGCCCCUCCCCGUCAUUGGUUAGAACUUUUCUCAACCCGUGCGAAUGGGCCUAUCAAUCUUGUGGCUUUGUAAGCUUCCGGAGCCUUAUAAUUUCAUUAGCUUCCUGAGUCUUGCGAGUCUCCUUCCUUCGAGAAGGACUAUUUUAAUUCGGAACUUAAAUGACAUCAGUUAUGGGGAAGUUCGAUGUCUGUAGUUACUGAAAUUUUAAAAUAAAUCUAAAUACAAACUGA